rnacentral:rRNA from 1 species
GUUUGACCUCAAAUCAGGUAGGAAUACCCGCUGAACUUAAGCAUAUCAAUAAGCGGAGGAAAAGAAACCAACAGGGAUUGCCUUAGUAGCGGCGAGUGAAGCGGCAAAAGCUCAAAUUUGAAAUCUGGCGCCUUCGGUGUCCGAGUUGUAAUUUGAAGAUUGUAACCUUGGGGUUGGCUCUUGUCUAUGUUUCUUGGAACAGGACGUCACAGAGGGUGAGAAUCCCGUGCGAUGAGAUGCCCAAUUCUAUGUAAGGUGCUUUCGAAGAGUCGAGUUGUUUGGGAAUGCAGCUCUAAGUGGGUGGUAAAUUCCAUCUAAAGCUAAAUAUUGGCGAGAGACCGAUAG